rnacentral:lncRNA from 1 species
UCACCAACUUCCACUGACUCCUCGAGCCCCGGAGCUCAGAGGGGAUUUGUCCAACAGUAGGACAGAAUUGGACCAAGAACUCAGUCUCCAGUCCUAGGGCCCAUCCAGAGCAACUUGGUUGACAACUGUGUGUGGGCUCCAACACAGAAGACAGCGACCUUCACAUGCAAGGACUGCAAGCUCCAUGUUGGAUUUUGCUCAUCUUAUACCCCACAGUUGCUAUGGCAUUUCAUAAUAAACAUGAUGACAACAACCACCAAUUAUUAGGUACCUACAGGAGGUGGGCACUGUGGAAAUGCUUUAUGCACGUCAUUCCAUUCAUCUCAGAGCAACUCCUUGAGGGAGGCUACCCUCAUUGCACAGAUGAAGAGAGCGAGGCUAGGAGAGGCUGAGUGAGUUGCCUCACAGCUAUAAAGCAGAAGAGCUGGGAUUUGAACCCAGGGAUCUCUGAUGGUAAAGCCCAUACUCUAACCGCCACUCUAUACCCCAUACCCACCCACGUAUUAUAGCACCUACCCCCCGCCACAUAUAUUGCACUUCUGACGUCUCUUCACAGGGAGCUCCACCAGAUACUGAGCCCCUCACCCUCUUUGUUCCAUCCCACCUACUCUGUGUAACUCAAUGGCUGAUACAUAGUAGGGAUUCAGUAAACGCCUGCUUGUUGAAACCUGGCCUGGUAACGUGAUACCAAGGUUCUUUCUACACAGGCAGAGUCUAGUCCGGCAUUCUUAUCGAAAAUCACUUAGGGCACACGUUCAGUCAGCAUCAAUCAGAUCCCCCAUCCCAUACAUUUCCUCAUGAGCAGGUAUUAGCAGAUGAAGGGACUGAAUGACCAAAACUG